rnacentral:rRNA from 1 species
AGUGAACGCUGGCGGUAGGCCUAACACAUGCAAGUCGAACGGCAGCACAGUAAGAGCUUGCUCUUACGGGUGGCGAGUGGCGGACGGGUGAGGAAUACAUCGGAAUCUACUUUUUCGUGGGGGAUAACGUAGGGAAACUUACGCUAAUACCGCAUACGACCUACGGGUGAAAGCAGGGGAUCUUCGGACCUUGCUCGAUUGAAUGAGCCGAUGUCGGAUUAGCUAGUUGGCGGGGUAAAGGCCCACCAAGGCGACGAUGCGUAGCUGGUCUGAGAGGAUGAUCAGCCACACUGGAACUGAGACACGGUCCAGACUCCUACGGGAGGCAGCAGUAGGGAAUAUUCGACAAUGGGCGAAAGCCUGAUGGAGCAAUACCGCGUGAGUGAAGAAGGUCUUCGGGUUGUAAAGCCCUGUUAUUAGGAAAGAAAAGAUGUGGGUGAAAACACGGAUGUUCUGACGGUACCCAAAGAAUAAGCAACGGCUAACUACGUG